AUUCCAGCUCCAAUAGCGUAUAUUAAAGUUGUUGCAGUUAAAAAGCUCGUAGUCGGAUUUCGGGGCCUGCCGAGCGGUCUGCCGAUGGGUAUGCACUGUUCGGCGCGUCCUUCUUUCCGGAGACUAAUUCUACUCUUAACUGAGCGGAAUUGGGAGACGGAUCGUUUACUUUGAAAAAAUCAGAGUGUUUCAAGCAGGCAGCUCGCUCUUGCAUGGAUUAGCAUGGGAUAAUGAAAUAGGACUCUGGUGCUAUUUUGUUGGUUUCGAACACCGGAGUAAUGAUUAACAGGGACAGUCAGGGGCACUCGUAUUCCGUCGAGAGAGGUGAAAUUCUCAGACCAAUGGAAGACGAACCACUGCGAAAGCAUUUGCCAGGGAUGUUUUCAUUA
rnacentral:rRNA from 1 species